GAAAAGAAGAAGAAGAAUCUG
rnacentral:sRNA from 1 species